GAUGAAGAACGCAGCUAAAUGCGAUAAGUAGUGUGAAUUGCAGAAUUCAGUGAAUCAUCGAAUCUUUGAACGCACAUUGCGCCCUUUGGUAUUCCAAAGGGCAUGCCUGUUCGAGCGUCAUUUGUACCCUCAAGCUUUGCUUGGUGUUGGGCGUCUUGUCUCUAGCUUUGCUGGAGACUCGCCUUAAAGUAAUUGGCAGCCGGCCUACUGGUUUCGGAGCGCAGCACAAGUCGCACUCUCUAUCAGCAAAGGUCUAGCAUCCAUUAAGCCUUUUUUUUCAACUUUUGACCUCGGAUCAGGUAGGGAUACCCGCUGAACUUAAGCAUAUCAAUAAGCGGAGGA
rnacentral:misc_RNA from 1 species